rnacentral:lncRNA from 1 species
AUGAAUAAAGCUAGUGGAGGUGAUGGAAUUCCAGUUGAGCUGUUUCAAAUCCUGAAAGAUGAUGCUGUGAAAGUGCUGCACAAAAUAUGCCAACAAAUUUGGAAAACUCAGCAGUGGCCACCGGACUGGAAAAGGUCAGUUUUCAUUCCAAUCCCAAAGAAAGGCAAUGCCAAAGAAUGCUCAAACUACUACACAGUUGCACUCAUCUCACAUGCUAGUAAAGUAAUGCUCAAAAUUCUCCAAGCCAGGCUUCAGCAAUACGUGAAUCGUGAACUUCCUGAUGUUCAAGCUGGUUUUAGAGAAGGCAGAGGAACUAGAGAUCAAAUUGCCAAUAUCCGAUGGAUCAUGGAAAAAGCAAGAGAGUUCCAGAAAAACAUCUAUUUCUGCCUUAUUGACUAUGUCAAAGCCUUUGACUGUGUGGAUCACAAUAAGCUGUGGAAAAUUCUGAAAGAGAUGGGAAUACCAGACCACCUAACCUGUCUCUUGAGAAAUCUGUAUGCAGCAGUUAGAACUGGACAUGGAACAACAGACUGGUUCCAAAUAGGAGAAGGAGUAUGUCAAGGCUGUAUAUUGUUACCUUGCUUAUUUAACUUCUAUGCCGAGUACAUCAUGAGAAACGCUGGACUGGAAGAAACACAAGCUGGAAUCAAGAUUGCUGGGAGAAAUAUCAAUAACCUCAAAUAUGCAGAUGACACCACCUUUAUGGCAGAAAGUGAAGAGGAGCUACAAAGCCUCUUGAUGAAAGUGAAAGAGGAGAGUGAAAAAGUUGGCUUAAAGCUCAACAUUCAGAAAACGAGUAUCAUGGCAUCUGGUCCCAUCACUUCAUGGGAAAUAGAUGGGGAAACAAUAGAAACAUUGUCAGACUUUAUUUUUGGGGGCUCCCAAAUCACUGCAGAUGGUGACUGCAGCCAUGAAAUUAAAAGACGCUUACUCCUUGGAAGAAAAGUUAUGACCAACCUAGACAGCAUAUUAAAAAGCAGAGACAUUACUUUGCCAACAAAGGUCCAUCUAGUCAAGGCUAUGGUUUUUCCAGUAGUCAUGAAUGGAUGUGAGAGUUGGACUGUGAAGAAGGCUGAGCGCCAAAGAAUUGAUACUUUUGAACUGUGGUGUUGGAGAAGACUCUUGAGAGUCCCUUGGACUGCAAGGAGAUCCAACCAGUCCAUUCUGAAGGAGUUCAACCCUGGGAUUUCUUUGGAAGGAAUGACGCUAAAGCUGAAGCUCCAGUACUUUGGCCACCUCAUUAGAAGAGUUGACUCACUGGAAAAGACUCUGAUGCUGGGAGGGACUGGGGGCAGGAGGAGAAGGGGACGACAGAGGUUGAGAUGGCUGGAUGGCAUCACCGACUCGAUGGACGUGAGUCUGAGUGAACUCCGGGAGUUGGUGAUGGACAGGGAGGCCUGGCGUGCUGCGAUUCAUGGGAUCGCAAAGAGUCGGACACGACUGAGCGACUGA